GACGUAGGGCGCGAGCGUUGUCCGGAUUUAUUGGGCGUAAAGAGCUCGUAGGCGGCUUGUCGCGUCGAGUGUGAAAUCCUGCGGCUCAACUGCAGGCUUGCAUUCGAUACGGGCAGACUUGAGUACUGCAGGGGAGACUGGAAUUCCUGGUGUAGCGGUGAAAUGCGCAGAUAUCAGGAGGAACACCGGUGGCGAAGGCGGGUCUCUGGGCAGUAACUGACGCUGAGGAACGAAAGCGUGGGUAGCAAACAGG
rnacentral:rRNA from 1 species